rnacentral:tRNA from 1 species
GAAGGUAUAGCUCAGUGGUAGAGCAUGUGUUUAGCAUGCAAGAGGUCCUGGGUUCAAUCCCCAGUACCUUCA